rnacentral:rRNA from 1 species
UACGGAGGGGGCGAGCGUUAUUCGGAAUUAUUGGGCGUAAAGGGCGCGUAGGCGGCUGUACAAGUCAAAGGUGAAAUCCCUCGGCUCAACUGAGGAACUGCCUUUGAAACUGUACGGCUUGAGGCCGGGAGGGGGUAGCGGAAUUCCCAGUGUAGCGGUGAAAUGCGUAGAUAUCGGGAGGAACACCUGUGGCGAAAGCGGCUCACUGGACCACAACUGACGCUGAGGCGCGAAAGCUAGGGGAGCAAACAGG